rnacentral:rRNA from 1 species
UGGCGACCGGCGCACGGGUGCGUAACGCGUAUGCAACCUACCUUUAACAGGGGGAUAACACUGAGAAAUUGGUACUAAUACCCCAUAAUAUCAUAGAAGGCAUCUUUUAUGGUUGAAAAUUCCGAUGGUUAGAGAUGGGCAUGCGUUGUAUUAGCUAGUUGGUGGGGUAACGGCUCACCAAGGCACGAUACAUAGGGGGACUGAGAGGUUAACCCCCCACAUGGUACUGAGACACGGCCAA